rnacentral:rRNA from 1 species
GGCAUUAAGCAGGUAUAUUUAAUGUUUGGCCUGCCCUAUGGCGAAUAAGCUAAAUGGCCGCAGUAUUUUGACUGUGUAAAGGUAGCGUAAUCAGUUGCCUAUUAAUUGUAGGCUUGUAUGAAAGGUCGAACUUGGCUUUGCUUUUUUAGUUGUUAAAAACAAAAUUAUUUGUGUAGUAAAAAUACUAAAGAGAGUUUAUGGGACGAGAAGACCCUGUUGAGCUUUAUAUUGUUGCUUGAUUUUGCUGUGUAAGAAGAAAAAGAUGGGUUGAUAUAUUUUACUGGGGCGGUAAUUUUAUUAUAAACAUUUUUAUGUUGGUCCAUUAAAAUAUGAUUUGAGGAUUAAGUUACUGCAGGGAUAACAGCAUAAUUUUAUCUAAUAGUUCUUAUUGACGGUAAUGUUUGUGACCUCGAUGUUGGUUUAAGAUGUCUAUAUAGAAGUAUAAUGUUUGUAAGAUGGUUUGUUCAACCAUUUAAGUCUUAUG